ACCGCCGGUUACCGACCGAACCGAUAUAUGUAUAUUAUUUAUUAAUUAUUAUUUAAAUUACACAUGUUAGAAUUUGAUUGGUUAUAAUGGAGAGUUCUAUGGGAUUAUACUAGAACCGGCUACACAUAAUCACCUGAACUCUUCUUCUUCGCCAAACCCUUCGAUCUCUAUCUCAUUUUCAACUCAUUUUAGCCAAACCCUUCAAACCCUCUCCUCU
rnacentral:lncRNA from 1 species